AAUGGGUCAGCGACUUAUAUUCUGUAGCAAGGUUAACCGAAUAGGGGAGCCGAAGGGAAACCGAGUCUUAACUGGGCGUUAAGUUGCAGGGUAUAGACCCGAAACCCGGUGAUCUAGCCAUGGGCAGGUUGAAGGUUGGGUAACACUAACUGGAGGACCGAACCGACUAAUGUUGAAAAAUUAGCGGAUGACUUGUGGCUGGGGGUGAAAGGCCAAUCAAACCGGGAGAUAGCUGGUUCUCCCCGAAAGCUAUUUAGGUAGCGCCUCGUGAAUUCAUCUCCGGGGGUAGAGCACUGUUUCGGCAAGGGGGUCAUCCCGACUUACCAACCCGAUGCAAACUGCGAAUACCGGAGAAUGUUAUCACGGGAGACACACGGCGGGUGCUAACGUCCGUCGUGAAGAGGGAAACAACCCAGACCGCCAGCUAAGGUCCCAAAGUCAUGGUUAAGUGGGAAACGAUGUGGGAAGGCCCAGACAGCCAGGAUGUUGGCUUAGAAGCAGCCAUCAUUUAAAGAAAGCGUAAUAGCUCACUGGUCGAGUCGGCCUGCGCGGAAGAUGUAACGGGGCUAAACCAUGCACCGAAGCUGCGGCAGCGACACUAUGUGUUGUUGGGUAGGGGAGCGUUCUGUAAGCCUGUGAAGGUGUACUGUGAGGUAUGCUGGAGGUAUCAGAAGUGCGAAUGCUGACAUAAGUAACGAUAAAGCGGGUGAAAAGCCCGCUCGCCGGAAGACCAAGGGUUCCUGUCCAACGUUAAUCGGGGCAGGGUGAGUCGACCCCUAAGGCGAGGCCGAAAGGCGUAGUCGAUGGGAAACAGGUUAAUAUUCCUGUACUUGGUGUUACUGCGAAGGGGGGACGGAGAAGGCUAUGUUGGCCGGGCGACGGUUGUCCCGGUUUAAGCGUGUAGGCUGGUUUUCCAGGCAAAUCCGGAAAAUCAAGGCUGAGGCGUGAUGACGAGGCACUACGGUGCUGAAGCAACAAAUGCCCUGCUUCCAGGAAAAGCCUCUAAGCAUCAGGUAACAUCAAAUCGUACCCCAAACCGACACAGGUGGUCAGGUAGAGAAUACCAAGGCGCUUGAGAGAACUCGGGUGAAGGAACUAGGCAAAAUGGUGCCGUAACUUCGGGAGAAGGCACGCUGAUAUGUAGGUGAAGCGACUUGCUCGUGGAGCUGAAAUCAGUCGAAGAUACCAGCUGGCUGCAACUGUUUAUUAAAAACACAGCACUGUGCAAACACGAAAGUGGACGUAUACGGUGUGACGCCUGCCCGGUGCCGGAAGGUUAAUUGAUGGGGUCAGCGCAAGCGAAGCUCUUGAUCGAAGCCCCGGUAAACGGCGGCCGUAACUAUAACGGUCCUAAGGUAGCGAAAUUCCUUGUCGGGUAAGUUCCGACCUGCACGAAUGGCGUAAUGAUGGCCAGGCUGUCUCCACCCGAGACUCAGUGAAAUUGAACUCGCUGUGAAGAUGCAGUGUACCCGCGGCAAGACGGAAAGACCCCGUGAACCUUUACUAUAGCUUGACACUGAACAUUGAGCCUUGAUGUGUAGGAUAGGUGGGAGGCUUUGAAGUGUGGACGCCAGUCUGCAUGGAGCCGACCUUGAAAUACCACCCUUUAAUGUUUGAUGUUCUAACGUUGACCCGUGAUCCGGGUUGCGGACAGUGUCUGGUGGGUAGUUUGACUGGGGCGGUCUCCUCCUAAAGAGUAACGGAGGAGCACGAAGGUUGGCUAAUCCUGGUCGGACAUCAGGAGGUUAGUGCAAUGGCAUAAGCCAGCUUGACUGCGAGCGUGACGGCGCGAGCAGGUGCGAAAGCAGGUCAUAGUGAUCCGGUGGUUCUGAAUGGAAGGGCCAUCGCUCAACGGAUAAAAGGUACUCCGGGGAUAACAGGCUGAUACCGCCCAAGAGUUCAUAUCGACGGCGGUGUUUGGCACCUCGAUGUCGGCUCAUCACAUCCUGGGGCUGAAGUAGGUCCCAAGGGUAUGGCUGUUCGCCAUUUAAAGUGGUACGCGAGCUGGGUUUAGAACGUCGUGAGACAGUUCGGUCCCUAUCUGCCGUGGGCGCUGGAGAACUGAGGGGGGCUGCUCCUAGUACGAGAGGACCGGAGUGGACGCAUCACUGGUGUUCGGGUUGUCAUGCCAAUGGCACUGCCCGGUAGCUAAAUGCGGAAGAGAUAAGUGCUGAAAGCAUCUAAGCACGAAACUUGCCCCGAGAUGAGUUCUCCCUGACUCCUUGAGAGUCCUGAAGGAACGUUGAAGACGACGACGUUGAUAGGCCGGGUGUGUAAGCGCAGCGAUGCGUUGAGCUAACCGGUACUAAUGAACCGUGAGGCUUAACCUU
rnacentral:rRNA from 1 species